rnacentral:lncRNA from 1 species
UAGAUUUUGGAUCGUCCUCUACUCACUCUACCACUUUGUUUUUCCUUGCCAGACUUCAUUCAAGGAUAAGAAAGAAGCCUGCUACAAGAGAGACAGCGGAAGGGAGCCUCAAAGACAUUUUUAUUAGGAUCUGCUAAUCAUGAGGGGGCAGACAAAAGAACCUGCAUUUUCCUUCAGCUUAAUAUCAGGGGUCGCCACAGCGUAAGGAACUGGAUAUUACUUUGGCAUAUGUUUUACAUAGCCUUCCAGCUGCAACCCAGCACUGUGAAACACCCAUACACUCUCGUAUUGACAGACACUUCUACACUAUGUUCAAAUUCACCUAUAGCACAAGUGUUUGGACUGUGGUGGAAACCCACACCAAAACAGGGAGAACAUGCAAACUCCACACAGAAAUGCCAGCGGACCCAGCCGGGACUCAUACCAGCAACCUUUUUGCUGUGAGGUGACAGUCUGAGCCACUGUGCUGCCCCAGUGUAGUUAUUAAUAACCUCCAGAUGUUUUACAGUUUGAUUUUGUAAUAAUAAUGCACGUUUAGAUUUAUUGUAAUAUGUUAAUAUUUAUUCGCAAUGUAAUUUAUUCUUAUGUUAUUUAUAAUAACGUUAAAUGUCAUAAGAAUGUUAUAAUUUAAUAUAAUAUUAUAAUAAAUAAUUAUAAUAAUGUUAAAAUAUAAACAAUACAAUUUUUUUUAAUAGUUUAUUUUUAUAAUGAGAAGUCUCAAAAUUUGUCUUUAUUAUAGAAAACUCAUUGUUGAAUGGCUACCUCUUUACAAUAAGGUUGUAUGUAUUCGUUAAUGUAUUUACUAACAUAAUAAACAAUACAUUUAUUACAGUAUUUAUUCAUCUUUGCUAAUGUUGGUAAAUGGUAAAAAGUUGUUAAUUGUUUAUUCAUGUUAACUCGCAAUGUAUUAACUAAUGUUAACAAGCAUGACUGAUUUUAUUAAUGCUUUAGUAAAUGCUGUACAUAAAAUAUGCUGUACAGGUAUUGUUCAUAUUAGUUCAUAUUUAAACCAUUAACAUUACUUAUAAAACUACUGUAAAAUGUAACUGUUGUAUGUAUGUUGUUAUAUUAUAUUUGUAUGUAUUUUAUAUGUAUUUUAUAUUUAUUUUGUUAUAUUUGUUAACGUAUGUGUUUUUGAAACAUUUCAUUAAGUGUUUAAUGUAUGUUCGUUAUGCAGUAUUAUAAAUAAAUGUUAUAAUGAUUAA